rnacentral:rRNA from 1 species
CCGGAAGACGACCGGAUAGAUAGGCCGGGGGUGUAAGCGUAGAGAUGCGUUGAGCUGACCGGUACUAAUACGUCGAGACUUUUUUCUCC